rnacentral:rRNA from 1 species
GAUGAACGCUGGCGGCAUGCCUAAUACAUGCAAGUCGAACGAAAGCUCCGGGUGCAGUGGCGCCUGGGUUCGUCACCGGUGGGAAGCUUCCCUCAUGUUUGGCAUAACUAUCCGAAAGGGGUGCUUAUACCGGAUCAUGUCUACGGACCAAAGAUUUUUCGCCUUUGGUUGGGCCCGCGUUGGAUUAGCUAGUUGGUACGGUAAUAGCCUACCAAGGCGACGAUUCAUAGGUUGUCUGAGAGGAUGAUCAGCCACACUGGGACUGAGACACGGCCCAGACUCCUACGGGAGGCAGCAGUGGGGAAUAUUGGACAAUGGGCGAAAGCCUGAUCCAGCAAUGCCGCGUGAGUGAUGAAGGCCUUAGGGUUGUAAAGCUCUUUUACCCGGGAUGAUAAUGACAGUACCGGGAGAAUAAGCUCCGGCUAACUCCGUG